GUCUACAGCCAUGCCACCCUGAACAAGCUUGAUGUCUGAUCUCGGAAGAUAAGCAGGAUUGGGCCUGGUUAAUACUUAGAUAGGAGACCAUCUAGGAAGACCAGGUGCUGUAGGCA
rnacentral:rRNA from 1 species